UACGGGGGGGGGUAAGCGUUGUUCGGAAUUACUGGGCGUAAAAGGGCUCGUAGGCGGCCAACUAAGUCAUACGUGAAAUCCCUCAGCUUAACUGGGGAACUGCGUGUGAUACUGGAUGGCUUGGAUUUGGGAGAGGGAUGCGGAAUUCCAGGUGUAGCGGUGAAAUGCGUAGAUAUCUGGAGGAACACCGGUGGCGAAGGCGGCAUCCUGGACCGGUAUUGACGCUGAGGCGCGAAAGCCAGGGGAGCAAAGCGGGG
rnacentral:rRNA from 1 species